rnacentral:rRNA from 1 species
ACGGGUGAGUAACGUCUGGGAAACUGCCCGAUGGAGGGGGAUAACUACUGGAAACGGUAGCUAAUACCGCAUAACGUCGCAAGACCAAAGUGGGGGACCUUCGGGCCUCACACCAUCGGAUGUGCCCAGAUGGGAUUAGCUAGUAGGUGGGGUAAUGGCUCACCUAGGCGACGAUCCCUAGCUGGUCUGAGAGGAUGACCAGCCACACUGGAACUGAGACACGGUCCAGACUCCUACGGGAGGCAGCAGUGGGGAAUAUUGCACAAUGGGCGCAAGCCUGAUGCAGCCAUGCCGCGUGUAUGAAGAAGGCCUUCGGGUUGUAAAGUACUUUCAGCGGGGAGGAAGGCGGUGAAGUUAAUAGCUUCACCGAUUGACGUUACCCGCUGAAGAAGCACCGGCUAACUCCGUGCCAGCAGCCGCGGUAAUACGGAGGGUGCAAGCGUUAAUCGGAAUUACUGGGCGUAAAGCGCACGCAGGCGGUCUGUCAAGUCGGAUGUGAAAUCCCCGGGCUUAACCUGGGAACUGCAUUCGAAACUGGCAGGCUGGAGUCUUGUAGAGGGGGGUAGAAUUCCAGGUGUA